UGUGCUUGAGUGAUACCUAGACGCCUAAUUGGCCGCUCGACCGCACGUCAACGUCGCCGCCAUAUUGGAGCGGGCAACUCUCAUAACUCUCACAUCAGGAAAGAAGAAAACAUACCAGACUCAUCGACAGAUUAGACACCUACAAACCGUCACACGAUAAUAAAAACAGAUCUUGGGGUGUUAUCUUUCACGGCCAUUUGCAAACAGGACAAGGACAGCCUUAAGGAAAGCUCAGGAAACCUGUUCUCAGAGACGAGACUAUACCUCCCUAGACUAGUGUUGUGUUUGUACUAAACCCAGAGCAGCCCUGAAUGAAUUGACAGAAUGACCCAGCUCAUAUUCUAAAGUGAUUAAUUGUUUUGAAAGCAUUAAUUUAUACCAGAAAACAAGACAGAAAUACUAAGGAAGAAAAUCUCUGCAUUAAUCACUUAAUCGUUUGAUUCUGAUUCAUUCAGACAUUUCUAAUAGCUUGUUCCGAAGCUCUGAUCAAAUGAUUCGCGAAACGCACUUCGGAGUCCCGAUCUGAAUCAAAUGUUUUGUGAACUCCGAAGCCCCGAUCAAAUGAUUCGCGAGCAGUGACAUCAGCAUCAUCUACACACCUGCUAGUGACAUCAGCAUCAUCUACACCUAUGCUAGUGACAUCAGCAUCAUCUACUCACUUGCUAGUGACCUCAUGCUCCUCCUCACCUACUAGUGACACCAUGCUUCUCUUCACCUGUUAGUAACUUGUCUGCUUUGUGAUAAGCAAAUUUUGCUAUCUUCCAGUAAGUUUAAGCUUUUGUUAACUUCUUAGCCAGGGUUUUAACAGACAUUAUACAUAUAAUCUUUCACAUACUUCUCAGUGUGCUUUUUUUUGCUGAAUUUAAUGCUUAGAUUUUAGGCGGGAAAUUUAAGUCAGGAAUUUUUUAUAUAAAUCUAACUCUCUACUUUUACUUAUGAUCUGCAAUAUCUUUUCAGAUUCUGAACACAUCAGAAAUCACCAACCUCUCCUGACAUAUCUUUCCAGUUUGCGUUUUGCAUGGUCCCCGAUGAACUCAACGUGGGAUGCCUUUCCGAUUUCUUUCACAUCAGGGCACUUAACCUCUACCAGGCCACAGAGAUGUUCUUCAUUUGGGUCCACCACUUUGCCAUCUGCACCAAGGUGUGUAGCAUCAGGGUGGAUGAUGAGACCAGAUGGAAGAACGUUAACGUCAAAGGUCUCCUCAUAGCGGUGAAGAACCUCUGGCUCAAGUUUUAAUCCUCUACACAUCGCUCUCUAGAGACCCCGACAGAUGUUUACACAUACUGUUUAAUGCAAGAUAUAAAUGCAGUUAACCUGCAAUUACAAAUGCAUAAUGUUUUGAUGUCUUAAUCCCAAAAUGUUGAAUACUGAUAUUUGCAUUGAUAAAAGAACGUGCUUUAAGAGGUGAAAUUAAAAACACCAAUAUCUAGACAAUCAUGAAUUGUAACAUCACUUCCUUUAAUGUUUUUACUAUACAGCUGAUAUGGAAUUUGUUUAAAUGUUACAUUUUUGAAAAAAAAAAAAAGUUACAUGUUUAUAUGAAAUGCUUAUACAAAAUAAGUCUGUAGUUAACUUUAAAGUAUAUCUACAUUUCUUGCUUUCAUACAUGGUCAUAUAAAAAUUUGCCGAACUUAAGUGGUAGAUUUCUGCCAUUUACUGGAAAACAUUUAAAAUUACAAUUUUAACAAAAGCACUACAUGAGCAUUCUGAGUGAUUUUAUUACACUAAUAUACAAUCAGACACCCCAAUUUCUGUUUUGGUAAAGUCAUUAAGUGUCAUGUCAUUUAGAUGAAUUAGAAUUUAAUUUAGGGUCCUGAAAGACCCUGAACACUGCACACAGGUUAAGAUGACCAUUGCUACAUAAAUAAAAUAAAAAUUGAAACUCAUCCUAAUUUGUUUGAAUUUUCCCUUACUAAAUUAUACAGUUACUGAUGGACUGUGGGAUUACUAACAGGCUAUUAACAAAAAUUUGUCUCUAAACAGCUUUUCUCUUUA
rnacentral:lncRNA from 1 species